UUACUACGAUCUUAUUCCGUGGUUUAAGUUUUUCGCAUAGCGUUUAAAAUAUUUCCUACUAUACACAAUCCGGUGUCGGUGGCAAACAGAACGGUCAAUAUCGCGUUGUUUACUCCCGGUAGCAGCAGCAGCAGCAAGCAAGCAGCUUUUCCAGAGAUGAGAACAAACUUACUCAGCAACAAGUACAAAUAAAAAAAGAAAGAAUCAAAAGGAAGAGAAAGAAAAAGAAAAAGAAAAAAAAAGGAAGCGAGUACUCUUAUCCGUCGUCUCAUUAGACGCCUUUCCACAUUUGCGAUUUCACUCUCUCGCGCGAAAUAAUUUUUCCGUAGCAAAGUUAAAAGAGAUAUUAUAAAGGCUUUUCGAAUUCAUUUAUUAGCACACAAAGAGAGAGAGAGAGAGAGAGAGAGAGAGAGAAAAAGAUAGGAACGAUGAUAAUAAUAUGACUCACGUUGAAAAGCUUAGGAUUACGUCAGAAAUGAUCUUUCCGCUCUCUCUGUCUCUCUCUCUCUCUCUAGUAAUCGGUCAUAUAUGUGUGCGCAUACGUAAACUCAAAGACAGACAGACGUAGAAACUUACUGCUCGUAAAGUUGGCUAUCGCGGAAUGUUUGAGAAAUUGGGAUCACGUAAAGCGUUGCGUAAUACCGGGAUACGCUGCUAACUUACGCGUUCUAACCCCGUGCUUAAGGCAAGGCAUAACGUAUAUAAAUGUGAGUAUAUGGUACGUAUAUAUAUACACACGUAUAUGUAUACGUACGUCUUAUGUAAGUACAUUACUCGCGCGAACCAACGAGCCGGGAUAAAUUAUCGGCUAGGGUUGUCAAGUAACGGAGUAGUACUCUUCUUCGUAACCGUGGCGCCAAAGAAGAUUCGACGAUACGUUAUAUGAAUUCGUCUUAAAAAGUUGCGAGUGGAAAGAGUAUAUAUAUAUAUAUAUCUCUUUCAUGAUCGUAAAAAACUAGAACUCAUAAACUUCGCUCAGUCUCCGGUAUUCACCUAUAAUAACUGAACGUCAUCUUGUAAGAAGGCAACCAAGACGAACGGCCGGAAAAUACUUGCUCAUUAUGCUCGCCGAGAGUCGUAAAUUGUUUGGAUAUCU